UUACACAAAAUACAAUAUACAAAAGCAGCACAGAAUGCUGUACUGUAUGUUCUAAAGUGCAUGUGCAGAAAUACAACAAUAUAUAAUAUAAAAGCUGCAGUUAUAUGAUGUAUUGUAAGGUAUUGUGCAAAACAAGUAAUCGACUGAGCAGCCAGUCACCACUGCAUCCCUGUGCCAUAACAGACCUGGACAAAAAACAAAAACAAAAAAAAAGAACAUUAAGGUUGGGCUUCUUGUAAUAGACAAUUUUGUGUCCAUUUAACAUUGUCAAGAUCACAGGGCCUUGAUUGACUGAAGCAUGACUGUAAUUGAUGUAGAGAUCAUAGCAGCAGAUAAUAAUCUCUGACUAAAACUAAAACUAAUCUCUUAGUCUGAUGUUUGAGGGUAAGAGAGAUUACAGGAAAUUUAAACACUGAAACCGAAAUUCUCAUUUUAUAACACAGAUGGUGGUGUUGGUUUACUCACAGCUCAUUUUUUUGUUCCAGUAACACUCGUUCUAUCCUCCUAUACAUGUUUAAUCAUCAAUCGGAAAUGACUGAUAUAAUAUCUAUGUAAAACAUUAUUUAAAAAGAAAAAUACCAAAAAAUAAGGUGUAGCAACUAUUAUUACUGCUACUACAGAAAAAUAGUUUUUUUUUUUGAACAUUUGAGAAUAUUUUACUUAUGAAGAUUUUCACAGAACCAUCAUACAUGCUUCACCUGACCUUUGCAAUGUAUAUGUAAAUCUGGAAAAAUGCUUUGGAUUAUCAUCUCAUAAUGAUCUAACAAUGGCCUAGUGUUAAUCUUGUGGCAUAUACAGUUUGCUCAGAUCCUGAUUUUCAUGUUUUCUGUUCUAAAAAGAUUUCAGAAACUCGAAAACAUUCUGAGAAGAAAUCUAGAGAUUCAAUCAUCCACAUGAUACACACAUUGUCCCACCCCAUAUCCAGUAACAACCCAUCUCUGCACUUACAGUAACCUCUGCACUAACAUACACUGAUGCAUGCUGCACUACACAACAUGAGGUGUUUGAGUUUGAGUCUCUGUAUUCUGACAGUACAAUGGCUACUGACUUCAUGCGUGCAGGUCAUACAAGUCCAGCAGGAACCAGAGAAUCUGAUUCUUUCCUAUGGAUCAUCACUGAAAAUUUCCUGCUCUAUAACUGGUACUGAUAACCCAUAUCUUUACUGGUAUCACUGGAACGAGACAGCAGGGUUCACACUGGUUUUCACCUCUAUUGCUACUGGUUUAAUGGAUCCAGACACCGUGGGCCAGUUUAAAUCUUACAGAUAUAAAGAUCUUCAGAUCGUUCUGGGGUCUGAUGGAGUGACUGAGAUCGGCUCUGCAGUGUGGUACUGUGCAGCCAGACCCCACAGCAUCCUAGUGCCAUCACAGAGCUGUACAAAAACCACAUCUUAUCAAGACUGAUGUUCUUUGCAUAUAUUUCACAGUGUUAAGAUCACAGAAAAAUACUGUAAAUGGAUAAAGCACAAGUGUAAUACAUGUAGAACUUGAAUUUUUCCCCAACAUAACAAUUUAUAUCACACAAUCACAUGACAGUUUUAUUAUUUAUUAAUACAAAAUUAUAUUGUUUUGCAAUAACAUUAUGAAAAGAAAAACCAUAACCACAUUUUUUUUUAAGAAAAAAAAAAGGAAAACAUAUAAUCCACACACACUGUUUUAGUACUUUAUAUACAAACCUUAGAAUAAAUCGUUUUACUUUUCAUUUUGCGGAGCAAGGUCCUUAACCAUCAGUUGCAUAAAUGAGAUAAAUGUUAAUUACUCUGCAUACGGGUUUCUGCCAAAGCAAACAUAUCCUGUUCCAAUGAACCACUUUGUUUCUUUGGCUUAGAUUUAGGAAUUAAGAUUUCAAGAUUUUAUUUGACACAUAUAUAGUUAUAUACAGUAUACAACUUGCACUGAAAUGAUAACCUGACCUUCUCAUCCUUAGUGCAUUUUAAGUAACUGAUAACUAAUAUUUAAUAUAAUAUUUGUUCGGACUGUGUGUAUAACAUUGUGUUCGGACUGUGCAGUCUUGUUAUGUGUAGUAACAGGACAGUACAAUAUUUAAAUGAUAAUGCAAUGAUCAAACCAGUUGGCCUAGAUCUUUUCUUGGUAAUCUUCAAUGUUGUAAGCAUGAUUUUCAUAAAUGAUUGUUCUAAGAAAUUUCCGGAAACUCUGAAUGUUAUUUAUGUAUUUAGUUCUGCCCAUGUGCAAGCGUAGGGUCCCACCCCAUAGCCAGUAACAACCCAUCUCUGCACUACUACCUACUCUAAUGUACAGUAUGCUGCACUAUACAACAUGAGCUGUUUGAGUUUGAAUCUCUGUAUUCUGACAGUACAAUGGCUACUGAUUCCAAAUGUGCAGCUCAUACUUGUCAAUCAGGAACCCGAGAACAUGAUUCUUUACAAAGGUUCUUCACUGAAGAUUUCUUGUGCAAUAACUGGUACUGCUAACCCAUAUCUUUACUGGUACCACUGGAACGAGACAGCAGGAUUCACACUGGUCUUCACCUCUGUAACUUCUGGCUCAGUGAAUCCAGAAAGUCAUGGUCAGUUUAAAUCUAAAAGAUCUGAACAGCUUAAGAUCAUUCUUGAGUCUGAUGGAGUGAGUGAGAUCGGCUCUGCAGUGUGGUACUGUGCAGCCAGUCCCCACAGCAUCCCAAUGUCAUUAUAAAGCUGUACAAAAACGACAACAUCUCAUUAAGCUUGGGUUUAUGCACAAACAUACAGUUUUGAUACACUGUUCUAUUCUGAGCACAUAGUCAUUUGAGCAUGACGCAAAUGUGUAGUCACAUUUGAUUAAUUGAAUAAAUCUAAUAGCUAUUGCAGUCCGCAUUUAUCCCUCAAAAUAAUCUUUUAUUUCUUUUUUGUCUAUUAAAUUUUCUUAAGGUUAGUUUUUCAAAAGUGUUCCCUAGGUUAUAAAUGGCAUGACAAACAUUUGACUAGCUCCUGCAAUAAAACGAUAAAGCGAAUAAUAAACAACAUUUGCAUUAUUGUUUCUAUCCAAGACUUUGUCAAUUCCUAAACUAAUAUACUGCAAAAUUGUUACUGUAUUAUAUGAGCCUAAAGCUGAACCAUUAUUUGAUUUUUGAGGAAAACAACAAGUCAAAGCAGUCCUUCAGAUGAACUAAACACAAAUAAUAUCUUUAAAUCAGAUGUGUGGAAAGCUAAAUAUGAAGUUUAGUGGCCUGGAGAGGUUUUUAUUUUUCAGUAACUGAUAUCCUUGCUUCUAGAAACAACAGCAUAUUUAAUGACCUGAGAUAAACUUCAGCAUAUACAUAAUCGUCCAGCUGUGACAUGACAUGAUCUAGCACAGAGCCCCUCCCUAGUGCUAUGUAACAGUCUGUUUCGACAUUGAGCACUAGUUACUACAACUGCUACUGCAUGUUCUGCCAGUUAUUAUGAUGCAUUUAACUCUUUUUAUUCUGAUAGUACACUGGAUUUCAAAUAUAUGCAUGCAGCUCGUACAGGUCAAACAGGACACAAGGGACCUGGUACUUUACAAAGGAUCAUCGCUAAAGGUCUCCUGUUCUGUAACCGGUAUAAGUAGUCCAAACCUCUACUGGUACCACUGGAACAAAACAGCAGGGUUCACACUGGUCUUCACCUCUGUAGCUACUGGUUCAGUGAAUCCAGAAAGUUAUGGUCAGUUUAAAUCUAAAAGACCUGAACAGCUUAAGAUCAUUCUGGAGUCGGAUGAAGUGAGUGAGACAGGCUCUGCUGUGUGGUACUGUGCAGCCAGUCCCCACAGCAUCCCAGAGUCUUCAGAGAGCUGUACAAAAACCACAGCUUUUCAUUAAGAUUAAGAUUUGGAUGAAGUUGUUAGACUUCAACAUUAGGAAGUCAAACAUAACACAAAAUACUAAUUUUGAGCAAAGAUCGUUCUGGAUAAAAUUUUCCAAGUAACAAUAAUAAACUGUAAUUCUAUUAUUUUUUCAUAUGAUGUGAGUCACACUUACCGGGGCUCAUCUAAGAUGCAAUCUUCCAAGACGAGAGCAAUAAAUGUGUUGUACUGUACCUUUGCAAAUGUCAGUGAAUUAAAUAGCAUUAUCCUGUUAUAAACACGUCCCUUUUCAAUUUUCUAGGGUUUUAAGGAGGUUUUAUUAAAGAAACACUAUCUUUGUUAAAACUAUAUUAUUCGGUGCCGAAACCAGGUUUGUGUGAAUCUUGAGUAGUGCCUUGGAUUCUUGUUUAACAAUGGCCCAGUUUUAGUCUUCUGGCACAUAGUGCAAGGCAUUGUUCUGAAAUGUCUUAAUUUAUCAGUCAUACUGUGUCCUAAUUUGGUUUCCAGGAACUCAGAAAGACCAAAAACUCUGUUAUGUGAUGUUUGCAAUUCUCAUCCUCUGGUGUUAUGUCAGGGGGGAAUGGUGGCUUAGUGGUUAGCAUGUGUGCCUCACACCUCCAGGGUUGGG